GAUGAACGCUGGCGGCGUGCCUAAUACAUGCAAGUCGAGCGGACUGAUUAGAAGCUUGCUUCUAUGACGUUAGCGGCGGACGGGUGAGUAACACGUGGGCAACCUGCCUGUAAGACUGGGAUAACUUCGGGAAACCGAAGCUAAUACCAGAUCAUAUCAUGAAUCGCCUGGUUCAUGAUUGAAAGAUGGCGUAAGCCAUCACUUACAGAUGGGCCUGCGGUGCAUUAGCUAGUUGGUAGGGUAACGGCCUAACAAGGCGACGAUGCAUAGCCGGCCUGAGAGGGUGAACGGCCACACUGGGACUGAGACACGGCCCAGACUCCUACGGGAGGCAGCAGUAGGGAAUCUUCGGCAAUGGACGAAAGUCUGACCGAGCAACGCCGCGUGAGUGAGGAAGGUUUUCGGAUCGUAAAACUCUGUUGUGAGGGAAGAACAAGUACCGGAAGAAUAAGCCGGUACCUUGACGGUACCUCACGAGAAAGCCCCGGCUAACUACGUGCCAGCCGCCGCGGUAACAC
rnacentral:rRNA from 1 species